AUAUCUUAUCCUUUCUGUGUACAGACUGUUCCUACAAAUACUUCACUCUUUCGGAAAGUUUUUCUAUGAAACUACGCGCUCUGGCCAACUUCACAUUGCCGGUUUCUCAAAGGACCACAGUCUCCUUUGAUGGCGGAGCAGGCUUAAUCACAAACAAGUGGGCCGAGCGAGGGAAAAGUUUAAGCAGCAAUCAGGGCAACAAACAGAAACAGUAGCUGGGAAAGUGGAUUAAAGCCGGGGCAGAGCACCAGAGGCAUCUUAACAAUGCGUUGGGAAAUCGAAACUCGGCUUACUAAAAGUUGUCAUCCUUGAAAUAGCCAUGGAUGGGGCGCCAUUGAUUGAUGCCAAUGAAAUGUAAUUGAAUGUUUUCUAAUUACGCCUCAUUAGGAUUACAAAUCGAACGGCCCAAGUGUUGGCCUCAUAAAUAUUUAGCGAAAUGAGAUUGAAAACGAAAAUAGGAGCUGCGACAAUUGAUUUCGGUGCACAGUGAUUGAUUGUCUGCUGGCUGUAAUGGGAAUCCUUCUCGACGACACCAUAAAUGUCGUUCGUUGUGUCGCAGUCACACCUCCGCAUCACUGGCUCCCCAGACUGUAGCAGGAUAUGGAGGAGCUAUAGCGAGGAGCCCCCUAUGGGAUGCAAAAGCAAAAAGCGGUGGCUCCGAGCCAUGUACAUGACGUAUGAAAGUCGUAACAAAACACUUUGAUUGAUGAUUGAAAUGGCCCGUGCCCUAAUUGGCGAUGGUUGCGUGAGAUGCUCGAAUGGUAUGGCUUGAAGAAUGUAAUAGAAUAAAAUAAAUCUAAUAUU